rnacentral:snoRNA from 1 species
AGUGCAGGAUUGUGUGUAUUGGCUUGACGCUGUGAAAUGAUGUGCGUUUCUUGCCGAAAGUGUUUCCUGCGAAACAAAUUUGAGGAAAGUGGGCAGUUGGGUUAAGCUUGAUAUUUGCUUUUUCCAACAAUCAUUUUCCUCUCAUUG